rnacentral:lncRNA from 1 species
UUUUUUUUUUUCUUUUUUUUUUUUUUUGGUAGAGACAGGGUAUCAACUUUAUUGCCUAGGUUGGUCUCAGGCUCUUAGCUUCAAGCGAUCCUCCUGCCUUGGCCUCCCAAAGUGUUGGGAUUAUAGGCAUGAGCCACUGUGCCUGGCCCUGAUGCUCUUUUUAAUACUGUAGAAUGGUAGGCAAAUGUCUUAGGCCCGUGUGUAUCUUUCUACCCUACCAGGAGGAAAAAGUAGUGUUGGAGACCUUCAGUUGUCUUUCAUUCCCCCAAGACAACUUCAUGUUUCAAAGGAUGAAGGUUCAAAGCUCUGAGCAAGAACCCCUUACUUAGACCCUUCCCCUAAGCAUUACUAACAGUAGCUAACAUUUAUAAUGCUUACUGUUCACCAGGCAUUGUUCCAAGCAGUUCACAUGGAUUCACUUAUUCAAGCCUCACAGCAGCCUUGAGAGUUCUAUUAUUUUUCCCAUUUUACAGCUGGGGAAACUGAGGCCCAGGGAUGAUCACACAGCUAGCCAGUGGCCAGUGCAUCUUACCUAGGCAGGCUGGCUCUGCAUUCUGUACUCUCUACCUCUCUGGCAUGCCUCCUGGAUCCCAGGUACCAUGAGCCCAUGUCCUAUUUCCUCCUGACCUUGAAGGAGCUGGAGGAGGAGGCCUUUGCAAGUGAGGGCUCGAGGCUGGUACUGAGGCAGCACCGCCUAAUUGGGACCUGGAUUAAUUCUCUUGCCUGCUGCUUGCCAAUCCCAUGGUUACUUCUUAUUCUGACUUGCUUAUUUCUGGGCCCUGGGGCUUGGCAAAGCAGAAGCCAGAGGUUUGCACAGUCUGCACAGGAAUGAGACAGACUCUUGCUCCUGUUCAUGAGCAUUAAACAUCUCAAGUGCUACCUUUUCCCCACCCCUUUCCCCCACUUCAUGCUUCUGGAUGGUGCUCAAACCCGCGAUGAUGCUGACUUACCGCUUGUUCCCUGGGCUGAUUUGGCUCUGUGCUGGGGAAGGGGUACAUGCUGCCUUUCUCUGGAGCACAGAAAACAGGCUGGCUUCUUCCUGUGUCGGGAAAACAGUUACCCAAAAGGGAAGUUUUGCUUUGAUGAACUGCCAAAGAUGUUCUCGAUGCAUUAUUGGACCGUCUUUUGCUCGGUUUAUUUUUUUUUCCUUAAUGAAUUCGGCUUUGGUUUAUGAGCCCGAGGGAGUUAAAGGAUUGUCCUCAAGAACACUGAUCAGGGUUGAAUUGCAUCUCUCACAGAUUCAUAUGUUGAAGUCCUAACCAGCAAUAGCUCCAAAUAGGACCUUAUUUGGAAAUAGGGUAGUUGGCGAUGUAAUUAGUUAAGAGGAGGUUGUACUGGAGUAGGGU